rnacentral:tRNA from 1 species
CAUUAGAUGACUGAAAAUUUAAGUGUUGGUCUCUUAAACCAAAUUAUAGUAUUAUUACUUCUAAUGA